rnacentral:rRNA from 1 species
UACGUAGGGGGCAAGCGUUGUCCGGAAUCAUUGGGCGUAAAGAGCGUGUAGGCGGCCCGGUAAGUCCGCUGUGAAAGUCCAGGGCUCAACCCUGGAAUGCCGGUGGAAACUGUCGGGCUAGAGUCCGGAAGAGGCGAGUGGAAUUCUUGGUGUAGCGGUGAAAUGCGCAGAUAUCAGGAGGAACACCAAUGGCGAAGGCAGCUCGCUGGGACGGUACUGACGCUGAGACGCGAAAGCGUGGUGAGCAAACAGG